AAGAGAUUUAAAAUUUAAACUAUCAUAAAAUUCAUAUUCUUUCAGUCAGAAAAUCUAUUGUUGUGUUUGUUGUUUUAACUCAACUGAGGUGUAAAAGAAGUUUAUAUUUAUGCUUUCCAGAAGCUCAUGUUAAGAAGGCUAUGUGCAGGCAGGAGAGAAAAGUAUAAGAUGAUUAAUCAGAGGAAUACAGGAUAUCUUGAGAAAAGAAGAACCCUUAGGACCUCUUCUUUUCCUGUCCUGACCCAGACAGGUUUGCUGCUUGUUCAGUCUAGUAAAAUGAUCUCAUGAAAGCAUAACAAGUAAGGUUGUGAUUAAAUAUGUAGCUAGUAAUAGGUAUUCAGCUAUUAGGUAUUUAUAGGUAUUAUCACAGUAACUAUGAGUGUUUUAUGUAUCAUACUUCAGUCAGUUUGUAAACUGAUCAGAUAUGUCCACUUACUUUUUAAGGAUGCUCAAAGGUAUUCAGAACAGAUUUGCCAAAACAAUGUUACUUUAUUGUUAAAAUAACAACUGCAGUGAUGCAUAUGCAAAAUUCUUGCCCAAAGGUCUGGGAGAAUGGACUUUAUUAUGUUGGCAUGUAGCUCCAAAAUUUCCAUUUCUCUCUUCCAAUAGUAAGGGAAAGGUCAUGUAGAGUGCUCAUCAAGGUGGCUGGAUUUAUACUAACCUCUGCGUGCUUAUAACUUUCUGAACAUUAGAACUAUGUUAGGUUGUCUAUUAUAAAAGGUCACACCCACAGCCAUAUUUAAGGGUAAUUACAUACUUAUGGGAUCCUUACUGAAGGUGCAGCCAUAAGCAGCCAUAUUGGUACCAUGAGAUCCAAGCUAGAGCUGAGAUCCUACCCAAGAGAAACAAAUCCAAAGGAACCUAUCAUAUGCUGGGCCAAUUGUUUUCACCCUUUUAGGAUUUUAACUGGAAAGGAAUGAAAUUAUUUGGCAGCUGGGAAGAAGGAAUUAAUGCGGAGAGGAUGAAAGAGUGAUUUCAUGAUGUAGAAUCAAUUUUGUGAGAAAUAAUGGGAAGCUAAAAUUAUGAGAUAACACAAGCUCAGGGUAAUUGUGAACCAGAUAGAGGAGAAAAACUCCAUUGAGAAAAAAAGGAGAACAGGAAUUGGAAAAAGCAGGACACUUGCAUAAAAAAAAUAAAGGAGAAUCAACAAUGUC
rnacentral:lncRNA from 1 species